ACACGCAUGACACACUGCAUAUCAAUAAGCGGAGGAAAAGAAACUAACAAGGAUUCCCCUAGUAACGGCGAGUGAAGCGGGAAGAGCUCAAAUUUGAAAUCUUAAAGGGUUUCCCUUUACGAAUUGUAGUUUAAAGAAGUGUUUUCUGUUGGAGUUUCGGUAAAAGUUCUUUGGAAUAGGACAUCAUAGAGGGUGAGAAUCCCGUAUUUGACCGUUACUUUCCAGCUGUGUGAUACACUUUCAAAGAGUCGGAUUGUUUGGGAAUGCAGUCCAAAAUGGGUGGUAAAUUUCAUCUAAAGCUAAAUAUUGGCGAGAGACCGAUAGCGAACAAGUACCGUGAGGGAAAGAUGAAAGGAACUUUGAAAAGAGAGUUAAACAGUACGUGAAAUUGUCAAAAGGGAAGCGUUUGACACUAGUGUUGUUUUUCCGAAAAUCAAUUACGAAUGUUUUAUUUUUGAGGAGUUAUGACUUCAUCGGCUUGCUCCUUUCUUUAUGAAACUUUCUUAAUGCACUUUUCGGUUAACAAGUCAACAUCAAUUUCUUUUGUUGUAAAAGGGUAUGAGGAAGGUGGCUUUCCUUUCGGAGAAAGUGUUUAUAGCCUUGUACCUCUGCAAUCGGAGAGAUUGAGGUCUGCAGCGUAGAUCCUUCGGGGUUAGAUACAUUUGUGCUAAGUUAUAGCUUUUCAUAGACAACUUGUUGACUAUGUUAAGUCUUGUAGCUUACUCGCUUAUGCUAUUUUACCUACGCUUAGGAUGUUGAGCGCAUGUCUCUCUCU
rnacentral:rRNA from 1 species